GGGGUGGUAAACUUUAUUUUUUUGCAUAUAUGUUGAUUUUUUUUCUCUUUUAAUGUAUAUAAUGGUCAUAGGAAAACUGUAUUGCAAGUUUACUACCCCCAACAGAAGUUUACUAGGGGUAGUAAACUUUAUUUUUCUGCAUCUAAGUUGAUUUUUCAUUGUUUUAAGGUGUAUAAUUGUCAUGGAGAAACUUUAUUUUGAGUUUACUACCUCCAGUAAAAGUUUACUAGGGGUAGUAAACUUUACUAGUGUGUAUUAUGGUCUUGAAAAUACUGUUUUGUAAGUUUAUUACCCCCAGUAAAAGUUUACUAGGGAUAGUAAUUUUUUUUUUUUAUACUUGGGUCAAGAUCACGUAAAUUCUGAUGGCAUUUAAAAAAAUCCAGUGAGAUUUCCAGAAAAUUCCGGCCACCGGAUGCCGGCAAUUUUCCGGCCAUAGGAAAAUUCCGGUCACUGGUGACCGGAAUCCAGCGGCCAGAGUUCGGAGUCCGGCGACCGGAAUGCGGCUGCCGGUGACUGGCGCCGGAGCCUGGUGUGCUUCCGGCAAAGUCUUCCCUCCAUCUUUUUCACUUUUUCUCUUUAAGUAAAAGCUAAGGGUAAAAAAGUCUUUUAAAAUGUAAUUUUAUUAUAUUUUAAUAAAGAUUUGUGUAUUUGGACUUAAAAUAAGUACCUUGUAUUCAAAUGGGCUAAGAGAAAAGAUUAUCAUUGAAAUGAGGUUUGACUUUUUCUAUUUUGUGCAAAUGGUCUUUUUCCCUUUUGUCAAAGACUUAGAUUUGUUGUUGUUUUUUAAACCCUAAACUCUAAACCUUAGACCCAAAACCCUAACCCCUAACCCUUAAACCUUAAACCCUAGUCCAAACUCAACAAAGAUCCAUGAAUAUCAUUUCACAAAAAAUAGAAAACCUUAAUUAGUUUAUAUUUUAGUUGUAAUAAAUCCACGUGUCAAUAUGUGACGGAUUCUAGACGGACUCGGAUUCUCUCCUAAGAAGUGUCUACUAAUAUUGUCUAAUAAGUCGAUCUGGACCGUCCAUUCUUAUCCAACGGACAAGAUCUCUCCAACCCUAACUUAACUCAUCUAUUCCAUUUAAUUGUAUCUCUAUCAAUUUCUCGUCUUCUCUCUCUUCCCCAAAACGUCAACAGACCCGUCGGGUCCUCUUCCCUUCUCCGGCGUCCUCCUCGGCCCACCUCCGUCGUCCACCGCGGAUAUGAAUCCUCCGCCUAUUUUAUCAAAACCAGCCCAUAAGACCCAUCUGCAAAACCCUUGUGGGAUGAAGAAGACUCUUGUGUUUUACGCCGGCGGAGCUCCAAAGGGUGAGAAGACCAACUAGGUCAUGCACGAAUGCAGACUCCAUGGCAACCUCUCUAAGUCUGCAGCAAAGGUGACCACAAACAUCCCCUUCAUUCUCUCUUACCUUGCUUUGCUUUAUGGAUUCUGUUACCUUUCAACAAAGAAAUCUAUGGCUACCUUUUUUCAAUCCUUACAUCUUCUUUCACAAUUUUUUUCUUCUUAUGUUGGCAGGCCGAGGAGAACGCUGGAGGAGGGCAAGAAGGACGAGAAAUAGGACGAGAGAGAAAGAGUGAGAUGAAAUAGAUGAGAAAAUAGGUUUUAAUUUUAAGUUAGAUUGGAAGGAUCUGGACCGUUGAUUAAGAAUGGAAGGCCAGGAUCUUCUUAUUAGGUAAUAUUAUGAGAUGUUUAUUAGGAGAGGAUCCUGAUCCAUUUUUUUAGACCAUCUCCUAUUAUAAGCUAAAAUGUCAAAUUUAGCAUAUAGUUACUCCCACCAUAAGUCAAAUUACAAUUCUCAAGGUAAAAAAUUUAGCUUUAGCUAUUUUGUAAGUCAAAUUUGGUUUAUUAAGUUGGUA
rnacentral:lncRNA from 1 species